UACAAGUCCUACAGAAGUUACAGAGAAUGCGCGCCGGCUACCGAGGGGUUAAUCCGCCAUCUUUGCCUGUGAUGGCGUAUGUUCUUCUUGUACCUCAAGAGUGGGAAAACAGGGAAACGCCCAG